GUGAGUAGUGCCUCCUCCCAUCUCUCUUGCUCCUGGUCUCAUCGUGACGGGCCUGGUCCUGCCUCACUUUCUGCCAUGACUAAGAGCUCCCUGAGGCCUCUCCAGAAGCAGUCUCCACAAACCGGAGGACUACCCCCAGACUGCAGUAAGUGUUGUCAUGGAGACUACAGCUUUCGAGGCUACCAAGGCCCCCCUGGGCCACCGGGCCCUCCUGGCAUUCCAGGAAACCAUGGAAACAAUGGCAACAAUGGAGCCACUGGUCAUGAAGGAGCCAAAGGUGAGAAGGGCGACAAAGGUGACCUGGGGCCUCGAGGGGAGCGGGGGCAGCAUGGCCCCAAAGGAGAGAAGGGCUACCCGGGGAUUCCACCAGAACUUCAGAUUGCAUUCAUGGCUUCUCUGGCAACCCACUUCAGCAAUCAGAACAGUGGGAUUAUCUUCAGCAGUGUUGAGACCAACAUUGGAAACUUCUUUGAUGUCAUGACUGGUAGAUUUGGGGCCCCAGUAUCAGGUGUGUAUUUCUUCACCUUCAGCAUGAUGAAGCAUGAGGAUGUUGAGGAAGUGUAUGUGUACCUUAUGCACAAUGGCAACACAGUCUUCAGCAUGUACAGCUAUGAAAUGAAGGGCAAAUCAGAUACAUCCAGCAAUCAUGCUGUGCUGAAGCUAGCCAAAGGGGAUGAGGUUUGGCUGCGAAUGGGCAAUGGCGCUCUCCAUGGGGACCACCAACGCUUCUCCACCUUUGCAGGAUUCCUGCUCUUUGAAACUAAGUGUCAUGGAGAAACUCCAGCUGGGCCCAGAGAUUCUGCAGCGGGAAAAUCCAAGGCUUAUUUAUGCCAGGCUGAGUGGAUUUGGCCAGUCAGGAAGCUUCUGCCGGUUAGCUGGCCACGAUAUCAACUAUUUGGCUUUGUCAGGUGGAAGGAACAGCAUAUUUAAGUUCUUUUCUGUGGAAAACUCAGAAAUUGAGUCUGUGGGAAGCACCUCGAGGACAGAACAUGUUGGAUGGUGGAGCACCUUUCUAUACGACUUACAGGACAGCAGAUGGGGAAUUCAUGGCUGUUGGAGCAAUAGAACCCCAGUUCUACGAGCUGCUGAUCAAAGGACUUGGACUAAAGUCUGAUGAACUUCCCAAUCAGAUGAGCAUGGAUGAUUGGCCAGAAAUGAAGAAGAAGUUUGCAGAUGUAUUUGCAGAGAAGACGAAGGCAGAGUGGUGUCAAAUCUUUGACGGCACAGAUGCCUGUGUGACUCCGGUUCUGACUUUUGAGGAGGUUGUUCAUCAUGAUCACAACAAGGAACGGGGCUCGUUUAUCACCAGUGAGGAGCAGGACGUGAGCCCCCGCCCUGCACCUCUGCUGUUAAACACCCCAGCCAUCCCUUCUUUCAAAAGGGAUCCUUUCAUAGGAGAACACACUGAGGAGAUACUUGAAGAAUUUGGAUUCAGCCGCGAAGAGAUUUAUCAGCUUAACUCAGAUAAAAUCAUUGAAAGUAAUAAGGUAAAAGCUAGUCUCUAACUUCCAGGCCCACGGCUCAAGUGAAUUUGAAUACUGCAUUUACAGUGUAGAGUAACACAUAACAUUGUAUGCAUGGAAACAUGGAGGAACAGUAUUACAGUGUCCUACCACUCUAAUCAAGAAAAGAAUUACAGACUCUGAUUCUACAGUGAUGAUUGAAUUCUAAAAAUGGUUAUCAUUAGGGCUUUUGAUUUAUAAAACUUUGGGUACUUAUACUAAAUUAUGGUAGUUAUUCUGCCUUCCAGUUUGCUUGAUAUAUUUGUUGAUAUUAAGAUUCUUGACUUAUAUUUUGAAUGGGUUCUAGUGAAAAAGGAAUGAUAUAUUCUUGAAGACAUCGAUAUACAUUUAUUUACACUCUUGAUUCUACAAUGUAGAAAAUGAGGAAAUGCCACAAAUUGUAUGGUGAUAAAAGUCACGUGAAACAGAGUGAUUGGUUGCAUCCAGGCCUUUUGUCUUGGUGUUCAUGAUCUCCCUCUAAGCACAUUCCAAACUUUAGCAACAGUUAUCACACUUUGUAAUUUGCAAAGAAAAGUUUCACCUGUAUUGAAUCAGAAUGCCUUCAACUGAAAAAAACAUAUCCAAAAUAAUGAGGAAAUGUGUUGGCUCACUACGUAGAGUCCAGAGGGACAGUCAGUUUUAGGGUUGCCUGUAUCCAGUAACUCGGGGCCUGUUUCCCCGUGGGUCUCUGGGCUGUCAGCUUUCCUUUCUCCAUGUGUUUGAUUUCUCCUCAGGCUGGUAGCAAGUUCUGGAUCUUAUACCCAACACACAGCAACAUCCAGAAAUAAAGAUCUCAGGACCCCCCAGCAAGUCGUUUUGUGUCUCCUUGGACUGAGUUAAGUUACAAGCCUUUCUUAUACCUGUCUUUGACAAAGAAGACGGGAUUGUCUUUACAUAAAACCAGCCUGCUCCUGGAGCUUCCCUGGACUCAACUUCCUAAAGGCAUGUGAGGAAGGGGUAGAUUCCACAAUCUAAUCCGGGUGCCAUCAGAGUAGAGGGAGUAGAGAAUGGAUGUUGGGUAGGCCAUCAAUAAGGUCCAUUCUGCGCAGUAUCUCAACUGCCGUUCAACAAUCGCAAGAGGAAGGUGGAGCAGGUUUCUUCAUCUUACAGUUGAGAAAACAGAGACUCAGAAGGGCUUCUUAGUUCAUGUUUCCCUUAGCGCCUCAGUGAUUUUUUCAUGGUGGCUUAGGCCAAAAGAAAUAUCUAACCAUUCAAUUUAUAAAUAAUUAGGUCCCCAACGAAUUAAAUAUUAUGUCCUACCAACUUAUUAGCUGCUUGAAAAAUAUAAUACACAUAAAUAAAAAAAUAUAUUUUUCAUUUCUAUUUCAUUGUUAAUCACAACUACUUACUAAGGAGAUGUAUGCACCUAUUGGACACUGUGCAACUUCUCACCUGGAAUGAGAUUGGACACUGCUGCCCUCAUUUUCUGCUCCAUGUUGGUGUCCAUAUAGUACUUGAUUUUUUAUCAGAUGGCCUGGAAAACCCAGUCUCACAAAAAUAUGAAAUUAUCAGAAGGAUUAUAGUGCAAUCUUAUGUUGAAAGAAUGAACUACCUCACUAGUAGUUCACGUGAUGUCUGACAGAUGUUGAGUUUCAUUGUGUUUGUGUGUUCAAAUUUUUAAAUAUUCUGAGAUACUCUUGUGAGGUCACUCUAAUGCCCUGGGUGCCUUGGCACAGUUUUAGAAAUACCAGUUGAAAAUAUUUGCUCAGGAAUAUGCAACUAGGAAGGGGCAGAAUCAGAAUUUAAGCUUUCAUAUUCUAGCCUUCAGUCUUGUUCUUCAACCAUUUUUAGGAACUUUCCCAUAAGGUUAUGUUUUCCAGCCCAGGCAUGGAGGAUCACUUGAGGCCAAGAGUUCGAGACCAGCCUGGGGAACUUGGCUGGACCUCCGUUUCUACGAAAUAAAAAUAAAAAAAUUAUCCAGGUAUGGUGGUGUGUGCCUGUAGUCCUAUCUACUCAAGGGUGGGGCAGGAGGAUCACUUGAGCCCAGGAAUUUGAGGCCACAGUGAAUUAGGAUUGCACCACUGCACUCUAGCCCAGGCAACAGAACAAGAACCUGUCUCUAAAUAAAUAAAUAAAAAUAAUAAUAAUAAAAAAGAUGUUUUCCCUACAA